rnacentral:rRNA from 1 species
AUUGAACGCUGGCGGCAGGCCUAACACAUGCAAGUCGAGCGGAUGAAGGGAGCUUGCUCCUGGAUUCAGCGGCGGACGGGUGGGUAAUGCCUAGGAAUCUGCCUGGUAGUGGGGGAUAACGUCCGCAAACGGGCGCUAAUACCGCAUACGUCCUGAGGGAGAAAGUGGGGGGUCUUCGGACCUCACGCUAUCAGAUGAACCUAGGUCGGAUUAGCUAGUUGGUGGGGUAAAUGCCUACCAAGGCGACGAUCCGUAACUGGUCUGAGAGGAUGAUCAGUCACACUGGAACUGAGACACGGUCCAGGCUCCUACGGGAGGCAGCAGUGGGGAAUAUUGGACAAUGGGCGAAAGCCUGAUCCAGCCAUGCCGCGUGUGUGAAGAAGGUCUUCGGAUUGUAAAGCACUUUAAGUUGGGAGGAAGGGCAGUAAGUUAAUACCUUGCUGUUUUGACGUUACCAACAGAAUAAGCACCGGCUAACUUCGUG